rnacentral:rRNA from 1 species
UACCAGCACCCCGAGUGGUCGGGACGAUUAUUGGGCCUAAAGCAUCCGUAGCCGGCCUUACAAGUCCUCCGUUAAAUCCAGCUGCUUAACAGAUGGGCUGCGGAGGAUACUAUAAGACUAGGAGGCAGGAGAGGCAAGCGGUACUCAGUGGGUAGGGGUAAAAUCCGUUGAUCCAGUGAAGACCACCAGUGGCGAAGGCGGCUUGCCAGAAUGCGCUCGACGGUGAGGAAUGAAAGCUGGGGGAGCAAACCGG